UACGUAGGGGGCAAGCGUUGUCCGGAAUCAUUGGGCGUAAAGAGCGUGUAGGCGGCCAGGUAGGUCUGCUGUGAAAACUCGAGGCUUAACCUCGAGCUGUCGGCGGAAACCAUCUGGCUAGAGUCCGGAAGAGGAGAAUGGAAUUCCCGGUGUAGCGGUGAAAUGCGCAGAUAUCGGGAAGAACACCCGUGGCGAAGGCGGUUCUCUGGGACGGUACUGACACUGAGACGCGAAAGCGUGGGGAGCGAACAGG
rnacentral:rRNA from 1 species